GGGGGAACCCUGAUCCAGCCAUGCCGCGUGUGUGAAGAAGGCCUUUUGGUUGUAAAGCACUUUAAGCGAGGAGGAGGCUACUGGUAUUAAUACUACCGGAUAGUGGACGUUACUCGCAGAAUAAGCACCGGCUAACUCUGUACCAGCAGCCACGGUAAUACAGAGGGUGCGAGCGUUAAUCGGAUUUACUGGGCGUAAAGCGUGCGUAGGCGGCUUUUUAAGUCGGAUGUGAAAUCCCUGAGCUUAACUUAGGAAUUGCAUUCGAUACUGGGAGGCUAGAGUAUGGGAGAGGAUGGUAGAAUUCCAGGUGUAGCGGUGAAAUGCGUAGAGAUCUGGAGGAAUACCGAUGGCGAAGGCAGCCAUCUGGCCUAAUACUGACGCUGAGGUACGAAAGCAUGGGGAGCAAACAGGAUUAGAUACCCUGGUAGUCCAUGCCGUAAACGAUGUCUACUAGCCGUUGGGGCCUUUGAGGCUUUAGUGGCGCAGCUAACGCGAUAAGUAGACCGCCUGGGGAGUACG
rnacentral:rRNA from 1 species